rnacentral:rRNA from 1 species
UGGGAGCGGCAGACGGGUGAGUAACGCGUGGGGAUCUACCCAUUGGUACGGAAUAACCCAGGGAAACUUGGACUAAUACCGUAUGUGCCCUUCGGGGGAAAGAUUUAUCGCCAAUGGAUGAACCCGCGUCGGAUUAGCUAGUUGGUGAGGUAAAGGCUCACCAAGGCGACGAUCCGUAGCUGGUCUGAGAGGAUGAUCAGCCACACUGGGACUGAGACACGGCCCAGACUCCUACGGGAGGCAGCAGUGGGGAAUAUUGGACAAUGGGCGCAAGCCUGAUCCAGCCAUGCCGCGUGAGUGAUGAAGGCCUUAGGGUUGUAAAGCUCUUUCGCCGGUGAAGAUAAUGACGGUAACCGGAGAAGAAGCCCCGGCUAACUUCGUGCCAGCAGCCGCGGUAAUACGAAGGGGGCUAGCGUUGCUCGGAAUCACUGGGCGUAAAGCGCACGUAGGCGGAUCGUUAAGUCAGGGGUGAAAUCCUG